rnacentral:rRNA from 1 species
UACGUAGGGACCGAGCGUUGUCCGGAUUCAUUGGGCGUAAAGAGCUCGUAGGCGGCUGUUCAAGUCGAACGUGAAAACUCGGAGCUCAACUCCGAGCCUGCGUUCGAUACUGGACGGCUAGAGUCUGGUAGGGGGAUCUGGAAUUCCUGGUGUAGCGGUGAAAUGCGUAGAUAUCAGGAAGAACACCGGUGGCGAAGGCGGCUCUCUGGGCCUUACCUGACGCUGAGGAGCGAAAGCGUGGGUAGCGAACAGG